rnacentral:misc_RNA from 1 species
AACAGAUUCAAUUUGAUGGGUUAUUCACUAGAACAGUAUAUCCUUAAAACUUUGCUAUGUUAAAAAUUCAGUCUUUUGCAGAUUGAAACCUGGGAUCAUCACUACUUGUGUAAUAAUUUAUGGUUGCAGAUCCGUAAAACCUCUAUUUUGACUAUGGUGAACACACUCUUACUGGAAUAAUGGAAUAGCUUCUUUUGGGCAUUGGGAAAAUGAAGAGGAGAAAGGGAAAGCAAAGCUGGGUUCAACUGAACUAGGGGGAAGCUCUGGAUCAGCGGUGGAACAAAAUCUAGUAGGCAUUGGAG